rnacentral:rRNA from 1 species
AUUGAACGCUGGCGGUAGGCUUAACACAUGCAAGUCGAGCGGUAACAGGGAUAGCUUGCUAUCUGCUGACGAGCGGCGGACGGGUGAGUAACGCGUAGGAAACUGCCUAGUAGUGGGGGAUAGCCCAGAGAAAUUUGGAUUAAUACCGCAUACGCCCUACGGGGGAAAAGGGGCUUCGGCUCUUGCUAUUAGAUGUGCCUGCGUAAGAUUAGCUUGUUGGUGAGGUAAUGGCUCACCAAGGCGACGAUCUUUAGCUGGUCUGAGAGGAUGAUCAGCCACACUGGAACUGAGACACGGUCCAG